rnacentral:rRNA from 1 species
GACGAACGCUGGCGGCGUGCUUAACACAUGCAAGUCGAACGAUGAAGCCGGAGCUUGCUCUGGUGAAUUAGUGGCGAACGGGUGAGUAACACGCGAGUAACCUGCCCUUGACUCUGGGAUAACUGCUAGAAAUGGUAGCUAAUACCGGAUACGACCCUCGGAGGCAUCUCCAGGGGGUGGAAAGAAUUUCGGUCAAGGAUGGACUCGCGGCCUAUCAGCUAGUUGGUGAGGUAAUGGCUCACCAAGGCGACGACGGGUAGCCGGCCUGAGAGGGGAACCGGCCACACUGGGACAGAGACACGGCCCAGACUCCUACGGGAGGCAGCAGUGGGGAAUGUUGCACAAUGGGCGCAAGCCUGAUGCAGCAACGCCGCGUGAGGGAUGACGGCCUUCGGGUUGUAAACCUCUUUUAGUAGGGAAGAAGCGAAAGUGACGGUACCUGCAGAAAAAGCACCGGCUAACUACGUGCCAGCAGCCGCCGUAA